UCAAUGGAUUUUUUAAAAUCCAUUCUGAUACCCUAUGUCUUUUGAU
rfam:Ailuropoda melanoleuca scaffold1388_4, whole genome shotgun sequence.